UCGCAUUUUUUUGGUGGGAACGGCCUGGCCAUGCCUUGGGACACGACCGUGUGCCAAUUAAUGUUUUUGGGAAUUUUGGACAGAGGCGUACACGAAUUGGCCGUGUCCUAGGGCACAGUCAUGUCCAACAUUUUCCUCAUUUGGCCAUUAUUCAGAGUUACACAAUGAACGAAGUGAGAACUCCAUUGGCAUAAUCUUGGAGCACUCUCCUUGAUGCCUUUCCUGAG
rnacentral:lncRNA from 1 species